CCCCCCCCCCCCCCCCUCGAAAAUGCGCCCGCCUCACCCUCCUGCCCGCGUCCGGACACAAAGGCAGGAAGGAAAGGAGGAAAAAGCCUGCCGGAGCCGUAAGGACGUGGCCGAGGGACGUAAAGUGCGAUUCGUGCAUCUUAUGUAUAAUGCAAGAAUAUAUUACAUGCAUGGAUCAUAAAGGAUCACAUGCAGGGGCGAAUCCAGCUGCUCCACACAUGGCAGGGCAAGCACGAAUGUUGGAAUCGCAAGCAAUUACAUAAAAUUGGAUAACUUCCCACGGCACACUAAAGUACCCCGGCGCACUGUUUGGGAAUCACUGGUCUAAGUGCUCCACGGCUCGGCCUGUGCCUCCAAAUCUCGUCUUCCGCACGCCUGGCUGCACUCAUCGAUCAAGUGUCAGCUUUCCACCUGAGGAGGUGACCUCCGCUGCCCGCAGGCACGACUCAGUGACCUUUCCUUGAAGCCCCUUCGCUGUAGAGUUCCAAUCAAUCACAGGAGUCGCAGGUGGAAGCGCGUUUACGCGUGGAGAAGCUGAACGUGAUUCGCGAUGUUAUAUUUGACACCGUCGGGCCCGAGCUGUACAUCGCGCUGACCCGAUGCAGACUACACUAUGCAAAAAGCUCACCCGUGUCGGAUUUGGGAGAAUAAGAAGGACUUACUUUCUGUCUGUUUCUGGAGUGGAGACGUCGCUGCUGAAGCCCAGGGACUCCUGAAGAAGAGGCAGAUAUUUUUCCACAAUCACAGCUGGCCGUUUUCAAACGUUUCCGGCACCAAAAUUGAAACAAGCUGCCAGGUAUGCCGGCAGCAAGCGGAGGAGGACGAAAGACGUCAAAAGAUAAGCACAUCCUUUGCAGACCUCUGCCUCUGGAGCAAUAAAUCUGGAUAAAUUGGCCAGCUGUGAGGCAGGUCUCCCACCCGGUGUCAGAGGGCAGGACAGUAUACAUCUCCCCCACCUUUCUUUCUCAACACAACCACACGACUUUUACACACCAUUCACAUCUUCAGAGCCACACCAGGCCAAAUUAACACCUCUUAGCUUGACGCAGGGCGCAAGUGGCUGCGAGCACAUUUGCUUGGCAUAUCAAACGGCUGGGACAAAAAAACAAAAAAAAAAAAAAAAUAAUAACAAUGGGUCAGUGUUUUGCAUUAGAAAAAGCGAACAUUUGCUCGAUGAAUGAAAACACACAUCCUGCAUAUUGUACGGACUUAAAAGUAAUUUAUGUCGUCUUUUUUUUUUUUUUAUAGCAUUAAACAUAAGUCCAAGUGCCUGAAUCUCACUGGCGGCUGACGUCUACAUUAGGUUUUUGUUUGUUUUUUUUCCCCGUUCACACGGAUACUUUGGCACGCAGGCAGGAAAACUACAUUACAGCACUUCCGAGUGUGCAGUAGGUGACAACUACGUGCUUAUUUUUCAAUUAAUAUUAUAUUCUACCAAUCCUGAAAUCCCCUUUUUUAAAGAUUGAUAAAGUUGGUAAAUGAGUGAACAAUACCCUGCUAAAAAUUUUCUAUAAAACAUUUCUUGAGACUUUCUAAAGAACUAUAGAACUUUAGGACCCAAGUCCUAUAGAAUUUUUACAUAAAUUAUAUUUUGUAGAAUUUCUAAAGAAAAUCACAGCCAAAGUUCUAUAGAAUUCUAUCGAAAAUUUUAGCAUUAUGAUGUGAUGGUAACAAUCCAUAUACAUUGGCUAAAGUCUUAUGAACUGUCACUGUUAAUUAUAUUGUAUGGUAAUUUUUAAAAACGUUAGUGAACCGAUUAAUGAAAACAAAUAUGUAUAGAGAUGCAAAGUUUACAAAGAGAUGCGCAGCUUAUUUUGUUUGCUCACUGAGCUUGCAAGAUGGUUCACGCCACAAAAUGGCCGCAGCGUCGAUUGGCUCGGUCCUGGAACGUCACGUGAAUAUUAAAUUGGCUGCAAACAAAAGCAUUUUUAGGUGCUGUUUUGUUUUUUUUUUUUUUCUUAAAGUCUGUUGUUCUUUCCAGAAGCUUCCGCGUGGAAUGACAACGAUGCAAAGCACUUCAACGCACAACUCAUUUCAGAUCGCAGCACCUGAUGGACUCAAGUCGAGGGACUUGGAA